rnacentral:rRNA from 1 species
CGCACAGCCCAUUAACACGUGGCUAAUCUGCCCUUGGGACCGGAAUACCCCCGGGAAACCGGGGCUAAUUCUCGAUAGGUGAAGAACUCUGGAAUGAGUCUUUGCUUAAAAGACGUUUACGUUAUGCUCGUAGGCGUCGCCCAAGGAUGAGGCCGCGACCGAUCAGGUUGUUGGUGAGGUAAUGGCUCACCAAGCCUUUUACCGGUGCGGGCCGUGAGAGCGGGAGCCCGGAGAUGGGCACUGAGACAAGGGCCCAGGCCCUACGGGGCGCAACAGUCGCGAAAACUUUGCAAUACACGAAAGUGUGACAGGGCUAUCCCGAGUGCCAUCCGCUGAGGAAGGCUUUUACCCAGUCUAGAACGCUGGGGGAAUAAGGAGAGGGCAAGUCUGGUGUCAGCCGCCGCGGUAAUACCAGCUCUCCGAGUGGUGUGGAUGUUUAUUGGGCCUAAAGCAUCCGUAGCUGGCUAAGUUAGUCCCUUGUUAAAUCCACCGAAUUAAUCGUUGGAUUGCGGGGGAUACUGCUUGGCUAGGGGACGAGAGAAGCAAACGGUAUUAUCCGGGGUAAGGGUGAAAUCCUUAUAUCCCUAGGAAGACCAACCAUUGGCGAAUGGUAUCUGCUAGAACUCACCCCAACUGUAAGGGAUGAAAAUCAGGGGGAAUGAACC